UAUGUAGGGGGCGAGCGUUGUCUGGAAUUAUUGGGCGUAAAGCGCGCGCAGGCGGUCCCUUAGGUCUGAUGUGAAAGCCCACGGCUCAACCGUGGAGGGCCAUUGGAAACUGGGGGACUUGAGUGCAGAAGAGGAGAGCGGAAUUCCACGUGUAGCGGUGAAAUGCGUAGAGAUGUGGAGGAACACCAGUGGCGAAGGCGGCUCUCUGGUCUGUAACUGACGCUGAGGCGCGAAAGCGUGGGGAGCAAACAGG
rnacentral:rRNA from 1 species